CCUACGGGUGGCAGCAGUGGGGAAUAUUGCGCAAUGGGCGAAAGCCUGACGCAGCGACGCCGCGUGAGGGAUGAAGGUCUUCGGAUCGUAAACCUCCGUCAGCAGGGAAGAACGGUCACUGUGCUAAUCAGCAGUGAAUUGACGGUACCUGCAAAGGAAGCACCGGCUAACUCCGUGCCAGCAGCCGCGGUAAUACGGAGGGUGCGAGCGUUAAUCGGAAUUACUGGGCGUAAAGCGCUCGUAGGCGGUAUGUCAAGUCAAGGGUGAAAUCCCCGGGCUCAACGUGGGAACUGCCUUUGAAACUGGCAGACUGGAGAGUGUGAGAGGAUAGUGGAAUUCGAGGUGUAGGGGUGAAAUCCGUAGAUAUCUGGAAGAACAUCAGUGGCGAAGGCGACUAUCUGGCACAUAACUGACGCUGAGGAGCGAAAGCGUGGGUAGCAAACAGGAUUAGAUACCCCAGUAGUC
rnacentral:rRNA from 1 species